AAUAUAGAGUUCUGUAGGCUAGACUGAGGUGUCUUGCUAAAAUCUGACAAUGGCAGUCUUUUUUCAACCAUGGAGAAAAAUGAACUAACCAGGUGACGGGAAGUGGAAGGCUGUUCCACAGGCCACACGAGGGGGCAGCAGAAAGACAUAUUUUGUGAUGUGGAGAUGAACUGCCGUCAACUCGACUUUCCCCCACGUCUAAGGGAAUAGACUUGGCAUAAAGCAAAAAAGGCUUAUAGAACAUAAAAGCACAUUGGAAAUGAUCCUUUUCCAACUUUGCUGUUUUAUAGAUGGAGAGAUUGAGGUCCCAAGAACAUGGGACUAAUUUCUGCCACGGGGACAUGAACAGAAGUGACGUGUGUCAUCAUCCAGGCCUGGAUCCCUGAGUCACUGUAUGGAGGAAAACUACCCAUUGACCAAUAACAACUUCAUUGGACUAGAUGUGCUUCUAAACACUAAGAGAACGGGUCAAGGGCAGAGGAUUUCUGUGGGAUCUGUGCUCACUCAUAGUCAUGGUAGAGGAAGCUGAAUCCCAGAGCAAAGGACACCAGGAAGAGGAGAGGGUUUCUCUGGAAACAGCAGGGUAGGUGC
rnacentral:lncRNA from 1 species